rnacentral:tRNA from 5 species
GGGCGCGUAGCUCAAUGGUUAGAGCCGACCGCUCAUAACGGUCUGGUUGGGGGUUCGAGUCCCUCCGCGCCUACCG